CAGAAGACUGGGUAAGAAGCCUAGUGUGCAUUUCCUCCUGAUGUCCCAGAUGGUACCCUCUCUGUUGGAGGCUUUGUGGGCUAUGCACAUCUGAACUUUGAUCUCUCCUCAGUGUGCGGUUGAUUAGCCACAAAGAUAUAUCCAGAAAAAUCUUGCAAUUACCUGGAUUAUUGUGUGAAAUUGUGUAUAUGAUUGUUGCCUGUUUUUACUCUGCUUCUCAAUGGAAAUAAGUGUAAAAAGCAUUCUGCCUUUUUAAGAUGUAAAUUUUAUUAAGUGUCUUCUAAAUGAGAAAUUAUGUGGCUUUUUGAAUAAUAGACUAAUUUCUAAUAAAUGUAACACCUUUCAUUAAAAA